rnacentral:rRNA from 1 species
GUGACCUCAAAUCAGGUAGGACUACCCGCUGAACUUAAGCAUAUCAAUAAGCGGAGGAAAAGAAACUAACAAGGAUUCCCCUAGUAACUGCGAGUGAAGCGGGAAAAGCUCAAAUUUAAAAUCUGGCGGCCUUUUUGCUGUCCGAGUUGUAAUCUAGAGAAGUGUUAUCCGCGCUGGACCGUGUACAAGUCUCCUGGAAUGGAGCAUCAUAGAGGGUGAGAAUCCCGUCUUUGACAUGGACUACCAGGGCUUUG